rnacentral:misc_RNA from 1 species
GAUGAAGAACGCAGCGAAAUGCGAUAAGUAAUGUGAAUUGCAGAAUUCAGUGAAUCAUCGAAUCUUUGAACGCACAUUGCGCCCGCCAGCACUCUGGCGGGCAUGCCUGUUCGAGCGUCAUUUCAACCAUCAAGCCCCCAGGGGCUUGUGCUGGGGCCCUGCGGCUGCCCGCAGGCCCUGAAAACCAGUGGCGGGCUCGCUAGUCACACCGAGCGCAGUAGCACAUCUCGCUCAGGGAGUGCGGCGGGCUCCUGCCGUGAAACCCCCCACUGUAACCCCAAAGGUUGACCUCGGAUCAGGUAGGAAUACCCGCUGAACUUAAGCAUAUCAAUAAGCGGAGGA